rnacentral:rRNA from 1 species
UCUACGGGGAGCAGCAGUGAGGAAUAUUGGUCAAUGGACGAGAGUCUGAACCAGCCAAGUAGCGUGAAGGAUGACUGCCCUAUGGGUUGUAAACUUCUUUUAUAUGGGAAUAAAAUGUUCCACGUGUGGGAUUUUGUAUGUACCAUAUGAAUAAGGAUCGGGUAACUCCGUGCCAGCAGCCGCGGUAAUACGGAGGAGCCGAGCGUUAGCCGGAUUUAGUGGGUUUAAAGGGAGCGUAGGUUGAUUUGUAAGUCAGUUGUGAAAGUUUGCGGUUCAACCGUAAAAUUGCAGUUGAAACUGGCAGUCUUGAGUACAGUAGAGGUGGGCGGAAUUCGUGGUGUAGCGGUGAAAUGCUUAGAUAUCGCGAAGAACUCCGAUUGCGAAGGCAGUUCACUGGACUGCAACUGACACUGAGGCUCGAUAGUGUGGGUAUCAAACAGGAUUAGAUACCCCUGUAGUC